AAAGAAGAAGAAAGGAAAGAAAAAAAAGAUAAAAUGGAGUAAAAGUGCAGAAUGCUGACUCCCUCGAGGCUUUUCCUAAGCAUUCUAUUCUAUGGUGGAUGAUAGUCAGCAUGUUUAAUUGUUGUUUUUUGUUGGUGGGGGGUGUUGAGGUCAUUAAAGAAUGGUUUUAUCAUCCACUUUCUCUCAUGUCCCUUUUCUCAUCAGCUGGCAUAUUCCAGGCCAUGUGUCUCCUGAUCUGUGCCGAGAUGUACCAAGUGUCCAGACUGCAGCACAUCUGUGAGCUGUUCAUCAUUACCCAGCUGCAGAGCAUGCCAAGCAGGGAACUGGCAUCCAUGAACCUUGAUAUAGUUGACCUGCUUAAAAAGGCCAAGUUUCACCACUCUGAUUGCCUUUCAACCUGGCUACUUCAUUUCAUUGCUACUAACUACCUCAUCUUCAGUCAAAAGCCUGAAUUUCAGGAUCU
rnacentral:sRNA from 1 species